rnacentral:rRNA from 1 species
GAUGAACGCUAGCGGCAGGCUUAACACAUGCAAGUCGAGGGGUAGAGGAAGCUUGCUUCCUUGAGACCGGCGCACGGGUGCGUAACGCGUAUACAAUCUACCUUUUACAGAGGGAUAGCCCAGAGAAAUUUGGAUUAAUACCUCAUAGUAUUUUCGGAUCGCAUGAUUUGAUUAUUAAAGUUCCAACGGUAAAGAUGAGUAUGCGUCCCAUUAGCUAGAUGGUAAGGUAACGGCUUACCAUGGCAAUGAUGGGUAGGGGUCCUGAGAGGGAGAUCCCCCACACUGGUACUGAGACACGGACCAGACUCCUACGGGAGGCAGCAGUGAGGAAUAUUGGACAAUGGGCGCAAGCCUGAUCCAGCCAUGCCGCGUGCAGGAUGACGGUCCUAUGGAUUGUAAACUGCUUUUAUACAGGAAGAAACACUCCGACGUGUCGGAGCUUGACGGUACUGUAAGAAUAAGGAUCGGCUAACUCCGUGCCAGC